AGUCGUAGUGCCGUAACCCGGGUGUCUACCAAUGUCUAGGUGAGAGGGGCGGUAGAACGCAAGGGGGGGCCGAACCUACGUACGUUGAAAAGUGCGGGGGUGGAGUGGUGGGUAGCGGAGAAAUUCCAAACGAACUUGGGGGUAGCUGGUUCUCGCCGAAAUAGCUUUAGGGGUAGCCUCGGAAUUGGGAAAGAUGGAGGUAGGGCACUGUUUGGACUAGGGGCCCAUCUCGGGUUACCGAAUUCAGAUAAACUCCGAAUGCCAUUCAUUCAUAUCCGGGAGUCAGACUGUGAGUGAUAAGAUCCAUAGUCGAAAGGGAAACAGACCAGACCACCAGCUAAGGUCCCAAAAUAUAUGUUAAGUGGAAAAGGAUGUGGGGUUGCACAGACAACUAGGAUGUUGGCUUAGAAGCAGCCACCAUUUAAAG
rnacentral:rRNA from 1 species